UCAUGUGCUGCUCUACUUAGAAAGUAAAAACAUUAGUAUAGAAAGAAAAGAUGAAAUGUAGUUUGACACAGGAGUGAAUGUAAUAUUGACAAGCAGUGAAAGCAUGAACUGUUUUUUACAAUUUAAUUUUUUGAGUUUUGUAUUUAAAAAAAGGACAAUACAUUGUUGCAGCUAUGGCAGACUUGUAAUAUCAUCAAAUAUUAUCGCCACAAAAUACAAUCUUGUUUAUGUGAUGUUCAUUUCAGAGCAUUCUUUUUUUAUAGACAAACUGACAUACAAGGGAAACAAGCAAAACAUAAGAUUAAAAAUGCAGUUGGUUAUUUUUACAGUUUUUUUCGAUUGCUAAACGACAGUGGACACAACUGGAGUCACAUGUGCAAAACUCUAACUACAGUCUGCACAGCAGCAGUUCAUGUGGACCAAACUCUAGUUCGUUUUUCAUUGCUUGAACAGUUUUCAAAACUCUACACACUUAUCCCAUGACUUUAACCACAACCUGCACAACACUGUGGAUUACAGCACUUUGUUCAAAUGCUAACACACUGCUGUCAAAACUGUGAACCACACAUUCAAAACAGAAUAGAUUUCAGCCUUGUGCCUUUCAAACACUGCUGAUUGCAAUUUCAGCUGAAAGGCUAAGCAGGUGUCUUGUUUUAGACUUGUUAGUGAACACACACACAUAUUACAGUAUAUAUAGGUAGAGCUCAGAAAGACUUGUUUUGGAAAUGGAACAAGGAAGAUGGGUUCGUGGAGGGAGAAGGGUGGCAGGGAGAGGGCGGAUGCGUGGAGGAAGGCAAAGAAGACAAAGAGCUGUUAUUUCAGAUGAAAUAAGGGCUACACUUAUAGACCAUGUCGUGAACCAUGGUCUCUCAUUGAGAGAGGCAGGGUUGAGGGUGCAACCCAAUCUGCAAAGAUCCACAGUGGCAUCUGUAAUGCGAAUUUUCCAUCAUGCAAACAGGUGAGUUACAUCCUUACAGUAAAUGAAAACAUUACAGGAAUCUAUUUUAUUGCAAUUAUAGAAUAUUUACACCAAUAUAUAUUACAGUAAGUUUGACUGUAAAAUAUAUUUUUACAACAGGACCCAAAGGCUGCCCCCAACAGGGGGAAGAGGAAAAAUAUUUUCAGAUGCACAGGAAAAUGCUAUUGUUGACAUGGUUGUUGUCAACAAUGCAAUAAAACUGCGGGAGAUUCAAGAUAGAGUGCUGGCUGAUAAUGAUAUAUUUGAAAAUGUUAAUUCUGUCAGCACAACAACUAUUGCUCGAGUCCUAAAGAAACACCAAGUUACAAUGAAACAGUUAUACACUGUACCGUUUGAGAGAAACAGUGAACGGGUAAAAGAGCAAAGAUACCAAUAUGUCCAGAGAGUAAUGGAGGUGGAAGCACUGGAAAGACCACAUUCAUUUGUAUUUAUCGAUGAAGCUGGAUUUAACCUUGCCAAAACACGGCGCAGAGGAAGGAAUGUUAUAGGUCAAAGGGCCACUGUGGAGGUUCCAGGCCAAAGGGGGGGAAAUAUCACCAUGUGUGCUGCAAUGGCCAAUGAUGGUUUGCUUCUCAACACACCACUUAUUGGCCCAUACAACACAGAAAGGCUUAUAGCUUUCCUAGAACAGCUCUAUGCUCAGCUAGUGCCAGCAGAACAGGGGGAGCCUGUAAGAAACCCCCAAGUUUUUGUCAUAGUUUGCGAUAACAUUGCUUUUCACCACUCUGCAGCUGUCACAGAUUUAUGGUUUUGUACCUGCCUGCAUAUUCACCCUUCCUCAACCCAAUAGAGGAGUUUUUCUCUGCCUGGAGGUGGAAAGUGUUUGGUCACCACCCACAUGACCAAAUGUCUCUUUUGGAAGCCAUGCGUGCCGGAUGUGAGGACACGAGUCCAGAGGACUGCCAGGGAUGGAUAAGGCACUCCAGUAGGUUCUUCCCCAGGUGCAUGGCAAGAGAAAACAUUAGAUGUGAUGUUGAAGAAAACCUGUGGCCUGAUGCUAGAGGCAGGAUUAGCCCCUCAAUUAUUUGUUAGAAUUACAGUAUGUACUUUCAGUUUCUACCUUUUUUUUCUCAUUACUGUAAUUCCGUAAAUUACUACAGACUAUUGAAGCAAACUGCUAAUUUUCAUUUACCUUAAAGAAUUGUUAUGUUCUAAAAAUUUU
ensembl:lncRNA